rnacentral:rRNA from 1 species
UACAGAGGGUGCAAGCGUUGUUCGGAAUUAUUGGGCGUAAAGCGCGUGUAGGGCGGCUUUGCAAGUCGGGGUGUGAAAGCCCUCAGCUCAACUGAGGAAGUGCGCCCCGAAACUGCAGAGCUGAGUACCGGAGAGGAUGGCGGGAAUUCCCCAAGUAGAGGUGAAAAUUCGUAGAUAUGGGGAGGAACACCGGGUGGCGAAGGCGGGCCAUCUGGGACGGGAUACUGACGCUGAGACGCGAAAAAGCGUGGGGUAGCAAAACAG